rnacentral:rRNA from 1 species
GGGGAAUUUUGGACAAUGGGCGAAAGCCUGAUCCAGCCAUGCCGCGUGAGUGAAGAAGGCCUUCGGGUUGUAAAGCUCUUUCGGCGGGGAAGAAAUCGCAUUCACUAAUACUGGAUGUGGAUGACGGUACCCGAACAAGAAGCGCCGGCUAACUACGUGCCAGCAGCCGCGGUAAUACGUAGGGUGCGAGCGUUAAUCGGAAUUACUGGGCGUAAGGCGUGCGCAGGCGGUUUUGUAAGUCAGAUGUGAAAUCCCCGGGCUCAACCUGGGAACUGCAUUUGAGACUGCAAGGCUAGAGUACGGCAGAGGGGGGUGGAAUUCCACGUGUAGCAGUGAAAUGCGUAGAGAUGGGAGGAACACCGAUGGCGAAGGCAGCCCCCUGGGCCAAUACUGACGCUCAUGCACGAAAGCGUGGGGAGCAAAC